GCAGGUGUGGUGGAAAUGGAGAUACACAGGAGACUUAAAAUCUCCCGCUUAAAUGAUUACGAGUUCGAGUCUCGUCACCUGCA
rnacentral:tRNA from 2 species